UUUCUCAGCCAUGCUUUCGCCCUUUGAGCCUCAAGUUCAAGACCCUCCAUUGAAGACUUGACCUUGGAGAAAUACUAUGUAGGGGAACUUCAAGUACGUAGAUUCACUUCCAUGCUCUAAUGAUGCAUGUUUUUCGUUGGUACAUCCAGAUAUGAAAUCAUGUGUGUGUAUGAAUGUAAGUAUGAGCAUGAAUGUGCAUUGUAUAAGGCUUAAGUUUGGUUAUGGAUGAAAUCUCACUAUGCAUGUGGCUGUAUGUUGCAAAACUAUGCUAGAAGAGGGCCCUGUUUUCCAGAAAAUUGGGCUUUCAUUGCAUGACGAUUUGGGGUAAUGAAAUUCUUUUGUUGAUCAUGAAAAUAUUUGAUUUGGUAUUCAUGUGAGUCUAAUUCAAGAUGAAAAAGGUUUAAUGUUAAUGUCUAACCAAAUUUGCGAAUAAAUGAUUGUUACUUGAGAAAUUUCAUGCACACACAGUGAAAUUCCCAUAAAGUUUCAUGUUUUUGUGGCAUUCUGUUGACCUAUCAAAUGACAUCCAAAUGAUAGCAAAUCAGUCCAUUGGAAAUAUGCAUGUGUCUACUAUGAUUUUCAUGUUUAAACUUUUCUCAAAUUAUUUAUAAAUGAGGCGUUAUGUUUCAAAUUAUGCAAACAUGUCACCGUUGGCAGUUUUCACUGAAAUUCAUAUAUGUUGCCUCUGUUACUAUGAGUUUUGGCUAACCAAAUUGACUCCAAUUUUACUCAAACCACUACCAUUUGAAAGAUCUAUGUAUGUACUAAAGGUUUCUUGUUGAAAUUAUUUUGAAAUUCCUUUUAGAUUGAAAGUUACGCCUUCGUGAAUAGGGAUAUGUCACUAUUAGCAGAAGUCAGCGGAGUUCAGAAUUUGACCUUUGGUGGCAUGAGCUUUUGGCUAACCAAAUGAAGUCAAAAUGCUUUCAAACCACCCCCAUUUGAAAGAUACGUGUGUCUUGAUUCAAAUUUGUUUCAAAAUCAUGUAAAGAUUUUCUAUGAUUUGGAAACAAUGUUCAUUUGUCUAGAGUAAUGUCACUUUUAUGAAUGUAGAGAAUUCCAGAAUCUUUCCAUUUUAUUGUAAUGGUUAAUUAGUUGACCAAAACGCCCCCGAUUUAGGCCCAAACCAGUACUAAAUGAAAGAUCAGUGAAUACUUGACUAAGUAUAAGUAUGAUUGAAAUAAGGCGUACCUAUGAUGUGAAAUGGAAUGUACUCAUGAAAUCAUUGGCUAUGCAUGGUUGAAAUCAGUUAUGCUUAUGAAAUAGUGAAUGCUAAAAGAACAAAUGUUUAUGAGGCAUGUUUAUGAAAGACAUGUAUGCUAAAGAGUGAAUGAGUGCUUAUUGAUUAUGCCUUACUCAGAUGUAGCGGACUACGAAUAUGAUAGAUCAUCCAAUUGUAGUAUGUGAUGACGUGAUGAGUGCAUGUGAUAAGUACAUGAGAUAAAUGCAUGUGAUAAGUGCAUGAGAUAAAUUUAUGUGAUAAGUGCAUGAGAUAAAUGCAUGUGAUAAGUGCAUGAGAUAAAUGCACGUGAUAAGUGCAUGAGACAAAUGCAUGUGAUAAGGGCCAUGUUAUUCCAAAUAAGCAUGAUUUCAGAACUGGUAUUGCUCGGAUGUGUGUGUACAUUGUGAUACGUGUCUUGUUAUGAUAUGCGAUAUGUGUUAUGUGACCUGGCCCAUGUGGUCAGCCACAUACUGAGAUAUGUGAUACUGUGAUAUGUGUUAUCGUGAUAUGUGAUUGAUUGGCAUGCUUUGAGCGUAUUGCACGACCGUACUGAGAUAUGUGAUAUCGUGAUAUGCAUUAUUGUGAUUUGUGAUUGAUUGGCAUGCUUUGAGCGUAUUGCAUGACCAUACUGUAUUUUGUGACUGAUUGGCAUGCUUUGAGCGUAUUGUAUGGCCAUACUGUGAUUUGUGAAUGAUUGGCAUGCUUUGAGCGUAUUGCAUGACUAUACUGUGCUUUGUGACUGAUUAGUAUGUUUUGAGCGUAUUGCAUGACCAUACUGUGCUUUGUGAAUGAUUGGCAUCCUUUGAGCGUAUUGCAUGGCCAUAAUGUGAUUUGUGACUGAUUGGCAUGCUUUGAGCGUAUUGCAUGACCAUACUGUGCUUUGUGACUGAUUGGCACCCUUUGAGUACAUUGCAUGACCAUAUUGUGAUAUGUGACUUGUCGACGUGCUUUGAGCAUAUUGCACUGUUGAGUCAUGACCUCCGGCUCGCACAAUGAUAGGACGGGAGUCGGGUUGAUGAUGAUGGGUGUCGCUCCCCCAUUUAUAGUCAUAUGACACCUUAACGGUGUGGUGCUCCUAGCCAAAGUGGCGUAGGGAGUAGUGUCUUGCAAGGCCGUUGCCUAUAAAAAACGGCAAAGCGUGCUGGGGACUAUGUGUGUGUGCGUGAAGGCAUUACGAAGUGGGGCACCCACUUGUCAUUGCCUUCCCUUCUGAGUGAUGAUAGAGAUAGUAGGAAAUGGGAUUAGCUUGGCUUGAUGAAUAGGGCCUCUACUUCGGGAGUAGGUGACCUAGAGAGUGAGUUGGUUAAUAUACAUGUUGAUGUUGUUACACAAUGGUAAUAGUUCAAAUUUAUAGCUUUUGUGAUUCGUUAUGAUACUUGUGCUGAUAAGACCUGAUAAAUUGGUGUUUUAAAUAAUGCUUGUGUGAUUAUUAUUACUUAUCUCAAAAAAGAAUUACUCAUGACUCCUUGCUGGAUAUAAUAGUAAAGCAUGACAUCUGAUUCUACUUACUGGGCUUUAUAGCUCAUUCCUUUACUUUUUAUCCUUGUAGAGUAGUAGCUGCAGGUCAAGGGCAGUUGGUUGGGUGAGCGUUUUGGUGGUUCUGAGGACCUGCACCUGCUGAGAAGACCUUUGUUUGUAUGUGUUUGAUUGGUCAUGGGCCAUGUUCUUGUUUUUGUUAGAGCUAUGUAUUUUUGUAUCUGGGCCUUUGGUACCUUA
rnacentral:lncRNA from 1 species